GUUCAAGUCACCAGGCAGACGGUUCCGUUCCCUGGGAUUUCAGGGCUGCGGUUUUAGGGUUGCUCUUCUAUACUGAUGGCUCAUGCUUCAGAAAAGAGAUCACUGAAGGUCCACGCAGGGACUUUGCUUGGCUGGAAUCUGAGGUCACCCUGGUCUGUGCCCUCCUCCAGGAAAAUGCCAUGGUGCCUGUCGGGGUCGGGGUGCAGCUUCCGAGUUUUACAGAUGUGGAAGCUGAGACCCAGGAGUCCCAGCGGUUGAAGAGGGGGCAGCAUCUGUCACUGGACAGCACUGGAGCAGGUCGUUAGAUCCAGAAGCACCUCAGAGACCAUUUAGUCCAGCUCCUGGGUCCAGCCUGCGUGUUUCAUCCACUGUGUGACCGAUGUGCAUGUGUGUUGAUUGUUUGUUCCUGUGAAAUCCCCGGGGGCUGCUCCCUGAGUCCCAGCCCUAGGCAGUCGACAUGGUCAGGAGGAAGUCAGGGAGAGGCCCCUGGGAAGGGCUGCGGACGGCACCUGCGCACACAGGUCCUGUGCCUAGGCCAGGGCUGGGUGGGGGAGGGUCCCCCUGGCUGGCCAUCACAGGGUGUGGGGGUGGCCGGGACCAGCAGGGCCCCCCAGGAGUCACCAGAGGGAGAGGGAGAAAGACUUGGGACCAGUGUGAAUGGGAGGGCCUUGAACUUCAGGAUCCAGAGUUGUGCCUUGAUUUUUAUUUAACCACGACCUCCAAUGAGUUCCAAGAGCAGGUCCUUGUCACCCUCAUCCUGCCACUGCCCCCAUCGGGCCCUCUCCAUUUCUCCCUGGGAGUUUUUAGUCACCCCCAACUGGUCGCCCGCCCUCUAAUCUCUCCCUGUCCCAGCUCACGCCACAGGACCCCCAACCCAGGAGGUUUCUCAAGUGCAAAUCUGAUUGUGCCUCACCCCCUCCUUUGAAAGCACCUGCAGGCUCCCGGCCGCCCCAGCUCCCAUCUGUGCCCACAGCCCACCUGGCUGGCCACCUGCCCCACUGCUGGCCUUCACCUCUGCCCUGCUGUUGAAUUAUUUGCUGCCUCUGGCCAGACUGCCGCUCCCUCCCCUGGCCAUCUGCUAUUCAUCCUCCAAGGUCCAGCGCAGAUAUUUGGUUGGGACAAGCUUUUCCUGACCUUCCUGAGGCCACCAAUGUGCCUAGAAUGUGCUUCUGUUUUGAAUCUCAUAUCACAUUGCAAUUGCUUUCAGAUUACUGGCUGUGUGUGAGAGAGUGUGAAUGUGUGUGUGUGAGUGUGUGUGUGAGUGUGUAUAUGUGUGUGAGUGUGUGUGUAUGUGUGUGUGUGAAUUGUGUGUAUGAGAGUGUUGUGUGAGUGUGUAUUGUGUAUGAGUGUUUAUUGUGUGUAUUGUGUGUAUUUGUGAGUGUGUAUAUGUGUAUUGUGUAUGUGAGUGUGUUUAUGUGUGUUUAUUAAAUAUGUGUAUUGUGUGUGAGAGUGUGUGUGUAUUGUGUGUGUGAGUGUAUAUUAUGUGUGUGUAUUUUGUGAGUGUACGUGUGUGUAUUAUGUUUGUGUUGUGUGUUUUGUAUGUAUAUGUGAGAGUGUAUUAUGUGUGUAUGUUGUGUGUAUUGUGUAUGUGUGUGUUGUGUGUAUUGUGUGUGUGUAUAUGUGGGAGUAUGUGUGUGUGUUGAGUGUGUGUAUAUGUGAGACUGUGUGAAUGUGUGUGAGUGUGUGUAUUGUGUGUGUGUCAGAGUGUCUGUGCGUGUGUGUAUUGUGGGUGUGUGUAUAUGUAAGAGUAUGUGUGUUGUGUAUGUGUGUGUUGUGUAUAUGUGAGAGUUUGUGUGUGUGAGUAUGUGUGUGCAUAUGUGAGACUAUGUGUAUGUGAGAGUGUGUGAAUUGUGUGUGUAUAUGUGAGUGUGUAUUGUGUGAGUGUGUUUAUUGUAUGUGUAUUGUGUGUGUGAGUAUAUAUUAUGUGUGUGAGUGUAUAUUAUGUGUGUGUAUUUUGUGUGUGUUGUGUGUGUAUAUGUGUGUGUUUAUAUAUAUGAGAGAGUGUAUUAUGUAUGUAUGUUGUAUGUGUGUGUUGUGUGUAUUGUGUGCGUAUAUGUGAGCGUAUGUGUGUGUUGAGUGUGUGUGUAUAUGUGAGAGUGUGUGAUGUGUGUAUGUGUGUGAGUGUGUAUUGUGUGUGUGUUGUGUGUAUGAGUGUGUGUGGGUGUGUAUAUGUAAGAGUGUAUGUGUUGUGUGUGUAUGUGAGUGUGUGUGUAUAUGUGUGUGCAUAUGUGAAUUUGUGUAUGUGUGUGUGAGUGUGUGUAUUGUGUGUGAAUGUGUUUGUGUGUGUGAGUGUAUGUGUGAGUGUGUGUGUGUUGUGUAUGUGUGAGUGUGUGAGUGUGUGUUGUGUGAGUGUGUGUAUGUGUGUGUGUUGUGUGUGUACGUGUGUUGUGUGUUGUGUGUGAGUGUGAGUGUGAGUGUGUGUGUGUGUUGUGUGAUGCACACUGACCUAGCCCCACAUACGUGUGGUUUCAUGUUGCACGUGUGGGGGGCUCAGGUCGGCUCUCACAGUAACCACAGAGGUACAUUUCGUCACUGUCCCAUGUACAAAUGGUCCCGAGGCUCUGAGGAGUGGCCUGAGCUGCCCGAGGCCUGCAGCUGGGAUUCGAGCCCAGAUCUGCUGGACCCUCGUUGCAGGCCCCAGGAAACCUGGGCUUGUGGGGGACCCGUCUCAGGGGUGGGCGCAGCAGGGUUGCCAUGGUGCCCACAGGAUGGGAAAUGGAGGGAGCCAGGAGCACCGAGGGGCUGCUCCCUUAGGGUUCAAAGGAUGCGCUUACCAGCCAGGCCACUUCCAUUGCAAAUGGCAGCCUCUGGCUGCCUGGGGACAGGCCUGUGGGACUCCAGGCUGAGCUGGUG
rnacentral:lncRNA from 1 species